rnacentral:rRNA from 1 species
GACGAACUGUGCAAACGUUAUUCGGAAUCACUGGGCUUGAAGAGUGCGUAGGCGGUUUCGUAAGUAGGGUGUGAAAGCCCCCAGCUCAACUGGGGAACUGCGUCCUAAACGGCGAGGCUGGAGUGAGGUAGGGGUGUGUGGAACUUCCGGUGGAGCGGUGAAAUGUGUUGAUAUCGGAAGGAACGCCGGUGGCGAAAGCGACACACUGGGCCUUGUCUGACGCUGAGGCACGAAAGCCAGGGGAGCAAACGGG